GCCAAAAAAAAUCGCGGGCUUUCAGAUAAAAGCACCAAUUUGUUUACUUUUCGAAGGAUUUGUAGUGAAAGGUGAUUUUAUUCAGAUAUUUUCCGUUGAAAGCUUGCAGGAAAUGGAGGAUUUUCGCUGAAAUCGUAUCUGAGGCAUUAGUCGUACCCUCUAAAAGGUGCAAAAGGACUUUUUUCUCACUGUAAGAUAUUUUUACAACUUCGAUCAUAUCACUGCUGGCUUUGAAACCCUUAGCAGCACAUGGUCUUGGCUUAAACAACAUCUAAAAAAAGAAAUCAAAACCUUUUUGAAGGAUUUCUUGAAAUACAUACUGAUCAAGUACAUCUAGCCUACCAAAUGUCUUAUGAAUCACGACGAUGUUUGGAUGUCCCAACGCUUAUCAAUGCAUUUUACCUGGUCAUGGAGAAAGUUUGGCUAAGCCUUGAAGAACUCGAAGUUUGGUCACUUUAAAAGAAGGAGAAAGAUCACAAACUCUUUGAAGGAGCAAUCCUGACCGAAGGAAGUACUUUAAACUCUUAAAACAUUCGUGUAUUUGGAGAAAUGGCUUUGAAGCUCAUUUUCUUUACCGCGCUGGUGAUGGUGUUGGUGUUGUCUGCUCAUGGUAAAACUUUGAAGGACAAGAAGCUCCGUAAAGGCACACGGGGCGAUGAGACCACCAAUACUUUAGUCACUGGCAAGGUAGUUUUUGAAGGAAUAACAACAUUUUGUCACAUAUAUGAAAGGUUUGACAAGAAUCAAAGAAGCCAUUGGUGUAACUGCCCCUUUGUUUUUUGCACGGGCUCUCUCCGCUGUGAUGACCCAAGAAGGGGCGGACUAAGAUGUUAUAGGAAACAUUACAAUAAGGUGGAUUUGCUAAACCUUUCCUAUGACGAUUGUGAAUGUAAAUGAUGAUUAAUAGCAAAAUAUUUAAAAAAUCGGGAGAUGUUGUUGAUAUAUAAGCUAAAAAUGCCUGGAAAUGAUGAUACAGAAUGAUCUAUCAGGAAUAAAUGAUUCAUAAGUGCUGAUAUUA